GACGUAGGGCGCAAGCGUUGUCCGGAUUUAUUGGGCGUAAAGAGCUCGUAGGCGGCCUGUCGCGUCGACUGUGAAAACUCACGGCUCAACCGUGGGACUGCAGUCGAUACGGGCAGGCUAGAGUUCGGUAGGGGAGACUGGAAUUCCUGGUGUAGCGGUGAAAUGCGCAGAGUAUCAGGAGGAACACCGAUUGCGAAGGCAGCUCGCUGGGACGUGAACUGACGCUGAGACGCGAAAGCGUGGGGAGCAAACAGG
rnacentral:rRNA from 1 species